CAAUAGCGUAUAUUAAAGUUGUUGCAGUUAAAAAGCUCGUAGUUGAAUUUCUGGGCGGCCCGCCGGUCUUCCAUGUGUUGUACUGGGCGGCGCCGGCCAUCCUUGUGGAGAGGGCUCGCAUUUGGUUGCGUGUCGGAUCUGCAUCAUUUACUGUGAAAAAAUUAGAGUGUUUAAAGCAGGCUGUCGCUUGAAUACAUUAGCAUGGAAUAAUAAGAUAGGACUUCGGUCUAUUUUGUUGGUUGCGAACCGAGGUAAUGAUUAAUAGGGAUAGUUGGGGGUAUUCAUAUUUAAUUGUCAGAGGUGAGAUUCUUGGAUUUAUGAAAGAUGAACAACUGCGAAAGCAUUUACCAAGGAUGUUUUCAUUAA
rnacentral:rRNA from 1 species